AGGGUGUAGGGCGGAUGCCUUGGCACUAGGAGCCGAUGAAAGACGUGAUAAGCUGCGAUAAGCUUCGGGGAGUGGCACAUACACUUUGAUCCGGAGAUUUCUGAAUGAGGAAACUCACUUGGAGUAAUGUCCAAGUAUCCAUAGGUGAAUACAUAGCCUAUGGAGGGGAACUCAGGGAACUGAAACAUCUAAGUACCUGAAGGAAGAGAAAGAAAUUCGAUUCCGCUAGUAGCGGCGAGCGAACGCGGAAGAGCCCAAACCAAGUCAGUUUACUGAUUUGGGGUUGCGGACAUAUCUUAAGGAAAGGUUAUUGCGAGUAGAAUAGGUCUGGAAAGACCAACCACAGAGGGUAAAAGUCCCGUAUACAAAGCCAAGAAAGUUCUUGAUAUGAUCCAGAGUACCACGAGACACGUGAAACCUUGUGGGAAGCAGGGGGGACCACCCCCCAAGGCUAAAUACUACCUAGUGACCGAUAGCGAAUAGUACCGUGAGGGAAAGGUGAAAAGAACCCCGGGAGGGGAGUGAAAUAGAACCUGAAACCCUACACUUACAAGCUGUGGGAGCGCAUUAUUCGCGUGACCGCGUACUUUUUGUAGAACGGGCCAACGAGUUACGUUAUGUGGCAAGGUUAAGCACUUAAGGUGUGGAGCCGAAGCGAAAGCGAGUCUUAACUGGGCGCCAUAGUCACAUGACGUAGACCCGAAACCGGGCGACCUACCCAUGAGCAGGAUGAAGCGAAAGUAAAAUUUCGUGGAGGUCCGAACCCACGUACGUUGAAAAGUGCGGGGAUGACUUGUGGGUAGCGGUGAAAUUCCAAUCGAGCUCGGAGAUAGCUGGUUCUCCCCGAAAUAGCUUUAGGGCUAGCCUUGAAAUUUAGAGAUGUGGAGGUAGAGCACUGAAUGUCCUAGGGGGUAUUGCACUUACCGAAGACUAUCAAACUCCGAAUGCCAUUAUCUUUUGUUCAGGAGUCAGACUAUGGGUGAUAAGGUUCAUAGUCGAAAGGGAAAGAGCCCAGACCGUCAGCUAAGGUCCCUAAAUGUAUGUUAAGUGGUAAAGGAUGUGGGAUUGCACAGACAACCAGGAUGUUGGCUUAGAAGCAGCCACUCAUUUAAAGAGUGCGUAAUAGCUCACUGGUCGAGUGAUCCUGCGCCGAAGAUUUCCGGGGCUAAAACAUACUACCGAAGCUACGGCAUCAUAUGAUGAUGGGUAGGGGAGCUUCCCAUGCAGGCUGAAGCGAUACCGUAAGGAGUCGUGGACAGUAUGGGAGAGAGAAUGUUGGCAUGAGUAGCGAGAUGAGGGUGAGAAUCCCUCAGGCCGUAAACCCAAGGUUUCCAGGGGAAGGUUCGUCCUCCCUGGGUUAGUCGGGACCUAAGCUCAGGCCGAAAGGCGUAGGCGAUGGACAACAGGUUGAGAUUCCUGUACUACCGAUAAUCGUUUGAGAGAAGGGAUGACACAGUAGGAUAAGCUGAGCACACUGUUGGUUAUGUGUGUCUAAGCGUUGAGGCAGACUAGAUAGGCAAAUCCGUUUAGUUAAUGCUGGAGCGCGAUGGGGAGCGAAACUAAGUAGCGAAGCAGCUGAUUUCACACUGUCGAGAAAAGUCUCUAUCGAGAUUAAAGGUACCCGUACCGCAAACCGACACAGGUGGGUGAGGAGAGUAUCCUAAGGCCAGCGAGAGAACUGUUGUUAAGGAACUCGGCAAAAUGACCCCGUAACUUAGGGAUAAGGGGUGCCCCAGCAAUGGGGCCGCAGAGAAUUGGCCCAAGCGACUGUUUACCAAAAACAUAGGUUUCUGCUAAGUCGCAAGACGAUGUAUAGGAGCUGACGCCUGCCCGGUGCUGGAAGGUUAAGGGGAUCUGUUAGAGCAAUCGAAGCAGUGAUCUUAAGCCCCAGUAAACGGCGGCCGUAACUAUAACGGUCCUAAGGUAGCGAAAUUCCUUGUCGGGUAAGUUCCGACCCGCACGAAAGGCGUAACGAUUUGGGACGGCGGCCGUAACUAUAACGGUCCUAAGGUAGCGAAAUUCCUUGUCGGGUAAGUUCCGACCCGCACGAAAGGCGUAACGAUUUGGGCACUGUCUCAACAACAGACUCGGUGAAAUUGUAAUCCCGGUGAAGAUGCCGGGUACCUGCGACAGGACGGAAAGACCCCAUGGAGCUUUACUGUAGCUUGACAUUGGGUUUCGAUACUACAUGUACAGGAUAGGUGGGAGACUAUGAAAUCAGGGCGUCAGUUUUGAUGGAGUCAUCCUUGGGAUACCACCCUUGUAGUAUUGGGACUCUAACCAUAGGCCAUGAAUCUGGUCUUGGGACACUGUCUGGUGGGCAGUUUGACUGGGGCGGUCGCCUCCCAAAAGGUAACGGAGGCGCUCAAAGGUUCCCUCAGUACGGUCGGAAAUCGUACGAAGAGUGUAAAGGCAAAAGGGAGCUUGAUUGCAAGACAUACAGGUCGAGCAAGGUAGAAAUACGGACUUAGUGAUCCGGUGGUUCUGAGUGGAAGGGCCAUCGCUCAACGGAUAAAAGCUACCCUGGGGAUAACAGGCUUAUCUCCCCCAAGAGUCCACAUCGACGGGGAGGUUUGGCACCUCGAUGU
rnacentral:rRNA from 1 species